AACGAACGCUGGCGGCAGGCUUAACACAUGCAAGUCGAGCGCCCCGCCAGGGGAGCGGCAGACGGGUGAGUAACGCGUGGGAAUCUACCCAUCUCUACGGAAUAACGCAUGGAAACGUGUGCUAAUACCGUAUACGUCCUUCGGGAGAAAGAUUUAUCGGAGAUGGAUGAGCCCGCGUUGGAUUAGCUAGUUGGUGGGGUAAAGGCCUACCAAGGCGACGAUCCAUAGCUGGUCUGCGAGGAUGAUCAGCCACACUGGGACUGAGACACGGCCCAGACUCCUACGGGAGGCAGCAGUGGGGAAUAUUGGACAAUGGGCGCAAGCCUGAUCCAGCCAUGCCGCGUGAGUGAUGAAGGCCCUAGGGUUGUAAAGCUCUUUCACCGGUGAAGAUAAUGACGGUAACCGGAGAAGAAGCCCCGGCUAACUUCGUGCCAGCCGCCGCGGUAAAAC
rnacentral:rRNA from 1 species